CGCGUCGACUCAACAUCAGGAAUGCAAAUAUAUUGUUUGUUUGUUUUUUUUAAGACAAACUCAUAUUUUAUUUUUGGAAAAUGUGUUUAUGUGUUUGUAAAGCAAAUUUUGCAUAAAAACAAGAAGUGUAAAAAAAAAAGAGAGAAAAAAAAAGAAAAAAAACCACAAAACAUUAUUAAAUGUUGGAACUAAGCAGACAAAAAGAGCCAUUUAUAGCAAAUGUCCAAAAACAUUACGUUAAAGACAAAGGGGCUUUGUUUAAAGUCUGCAGAGAAAAUAUCAUAUCUCUUACCAAAGCCUUUUUCAAUGGAUAAAAAGAACUAAUUUCAAUUAGAUUAUUAUGCAAUAUUUUGUCCCCCUUAUUCAGUUUUAUAUAGUAUUUAUGCAAACAAAAACUAUUCACAUGGACAUGAUGUAAUCUCAAAAAAACGAUUGUAAACAGAUUAAAAAUACUGCAAAUGUUUGUGUUUGUAAAUUAAGCUUAUAACAAAACAGUUUGUUAUAGUAAUAUGUGCCAGAAGCCGUACAUGUGCAGUAAAUGUGUAUUGGUUUCUUUUGACGAUAAGUAAAGGAGUUUGGUGAGAGGACGUCUAUGCAUCAGUCGUGUUUACACUUAUAGAAGUUGACAUGUUGUAACCCAUUGACAUUGUUUUCACUGUCAAAACAAAGUUUGGAUAACUCUGCUGCUACAUGUCAAGCUGCAGACAAAUUUACAAUCAGAAAGCAAGAAAAAGAAGAAGAAGAAGAAAAACAGUAACAGUCCUCUGUGUUUCUCGGCUUUUUCUCCAACUUUCCUCCUUUCCCCUCGCUUUCAUUUAGUCCCAUAAAGCGCAGUUUUCAGUUGGCUUCAAAGCUCUGUGCCGAGCUCAGUUGGGGGCCUUCAAAGCCCCCUGUCUGUCGGCAGGUUUUAGGCGCAGAGAAAGAUUCUUGUUCUUUAAGGAUUUGGCUCACAAAUAACGCCCAGCCAGGGCCAAGGCAACCAUAGCUUGCACCCUGACAGGAUGGUAAAGGCGAACCGGUGCAUUUCACUGAUGUGUUUUGGGGGGCUGUUCCUGCAUCUGUCCGAAUGCACAGACUCCUCAUCGCGCCUGGGCGGAACAUGAAACGGUCCCUCCAGCUGGAAGAGCGAGAGCUGUGUGGGCUUCCUGAAGUGGUGCAGCGCCGGGUCACCGGAGAGCCGCAGUGCAUGCUUGGGAACAGAGCAGCUAUCUGUGUUAUUUCAGCAGCAGCAUGUUGGAUGAAGGGCCCUUCCACGGGCAUUAUGGAUUAAUCUUUGGCAGGAUCUCAACUGGAUCGGCCCAAAAAUGGGAUGUUUAACCCUCACGUGUAGCAGAACUGCUGUGAUAAAGCGGGAUAGAGAGGAUUGAGCGUGACCCACAUUGGGACUGUUCUAAAUGUAUUACCUGUGCUGGCUGUUUAUGAAGCAGCCGUCGGGAUGCCAGGCGUGUCAGAGGAGCACAGGGUUCUCGAAUUGAACCCUUAUGCAGGAACAAGGUGUGAGCAAAACAAAAACCUGCUUCUGAAUGUCAAGGACCUUUAUCAGUUGAGUAUUGAAUAUCUGUGAGUGAAUCAACAAGAAAUAAAACAAUUAAGUAA